GUGGUGCUGAGGAAUCGAAUCCACGGCCUCAUGCAUAUGUGAUUGAAUUUCCUGCAGGAAGAAAAUGUCCAAAUCAUACAAAGAAUAUCAAAGAAGUGUUCAAAUAAAGAACUGUGAAACUCCACACUGGAAGAGCCAUGUGAGAAUACUAGAGAUACUAUCUCUCCAAGUAUCCCAGGCAGAUCUUGGAGUCUUGACCCUCCUGCCUCUGCCUGCUGAGGACUGGGACUAUAGGAAAGCAACCCCUUAACUGGCCUGAUCCUGAUUAAAGCAAACAGGAGGACACAGGAGGCAGGGGGACCGCAAUGAAGCAGUGGACUGGAGGGUAAGAAGGUAGCAA